UCUAGACUAGAUGGGUGCGAGUCUCUGCUCCGACCAAGGGUGGGUCUAGGUUCGGACCUGGACUGAGCUAGGUGCAAGCCUAGGCUUGGACC
rnacentral:tRNA from 1 species